GGUCACGUGGGCGGAAGACCCGAUGCCAUCAACAAAACUAAUAGCCUAAGGCCUCGGGAGCCUGUAAAAGUGUUGACCCAAAAUAUUCCUGGCUGAUGUACGACCACAGUAUCAGAUGAAGGAUUAACAUGACCUGUGUCUACUACAUUGAUGCUGAUGCAUUAAAGUG